GAUUGUUAAAGGAGUAUUUGUUGUUUCUUCUACUUUUCUGAAGUAGAGCUGAUACCACCACCAACCAACCCCCCAAAAUAAGCCAACUGUGGGAUUCUGGAGAAGAAUUACUUGGUGAGCAAAGUAAGCCAGUAAGGUUGUGAUGCAGGGAAAGUCCCUUUACCAUGUUUACAGAGGAACUCUGUGAGGAUGACUGCGGUGUCAGUGCACACAUACAUGCCCUAGGCCUGUGGAAUAUCUGUGUGAAGAUCAUGUUUGCCACUACAAUCUUUCUUCCUGACCCAAGAAGAACUAUUGGAGGGUCAGAAAAACACCCAGCCCCUUCCUGCUUCUAGCCUUCCUGCUCUGUAUCCACACAGCCAAAGCCACAAAACAAGCAAUCAACAAACAAAAACAGAAUAGGCCCUACCCUGACAGAAUGAAAGUAUAUGAUUAUCUUUUCCCAAAUACAAGAGAAUAAUCUUCCACCCAGCUCUUAAAGAGAAAACUUUCCUUCUACAGCCACAGCUGUUUGGGUUGGUGUUGCUUAAAAUUUGAAUAUAAUCAACAACCCUUGUCCCAGUCCCUAGAAGCCUUCAAGUGCCAAUGAUUGCCUUGGUUGAGAUUGAGAGAUCACUUCAGAAAACGUAGUACUAAGGAAGUAUUUCUGUAAGUGCUUGCGAGUAAAUACAAAUUAAACAAGAUUUAUUAAACCGAGACUUAAAGCAAUUUUACUAUGUACCUGAGUCGAGGAUCUACUCAUCUUUCUAGUCUCAGGUGAAAGACCUCUUCUUCCAGGAAGCCCUCAGGACUUUAGGAUAUGCUUGUUGUCUCUGCUCUGUGCUCCCAUAUCCUCCUCGGUAUCUCCCAUCACAGCCCUGCACCUGCCCUGUCACCAUCCUUACCACAUAUGUGCAUUAUGGCUGCUCUACCAGCCUGUUUCCCCGUUACACAGCAGGGCCUAGACUGUACCUGAUGCUUUUACCACUGAGCCCCUCAACACAGUAGAACCCAAUAAACAUCCAGAAGACCAUGAUAAAUAAACACAUCAUCAAUUAACUCAUUACUGUGGAACCCAAGUCUAGACAGCUGUUUCAUUGAGGCCAUGGAAGAACAUCCAGCUUUAGUCCUUAGACGAAAGAAACUUGAAACGUGCGGUAGAAAUGUAUCAUAUUCUUCAAGUCUCACUCCCUGGGCUAGAAGAGAUCUUUAAGAGGUCUUUUAGGAACCUCUCCAACUCAAGAACUGAUGUGCCUAAGGGGAAGUCUAACAGAGGACACACUGCCAUUUGGGAAAUUCUGACCUUCCUACAUAGUUGUAAUAUGGACAUCUUCUGCUCUUUUUCUCUGGGUUUAAUUGAGGAGCAAGGCAAUGAAGAUGACAAGAGGUAUCAUCCAGAUGUAUCACCUUCAAAAUUCAGAUGUUGAAACUUAAUGGCCAAUGUGAUGGUAUUAAGAGGUAGGGUUUUUGAGAAGUAACUAAAUUAUGAAGGCUUCUCCCCCAUCAUGAAUGAGACUAAGGCCCUUAUAAAAGAGGAUGCACUGUUCAAGGCACCAUCUUGGAAGCAAAGACUGAAUCCUUGCAACAAACCUUUCAGCUCCCUGAUCCUUGUUCCCAGCCUCCAGAACGAUGAGCAAUAAAUUUCUGUUCAUUAUAAAUGACACAUACCAGGUAUUUUAUUAUAGCAGCACAGAUAGACUAAGACCGAUGUCUUCAGCUCUCCUCUUUUGGGUUGAGUUGCGAGGCAAUCUUGAUGAACAGAACCCAAGCUUUGGAGCCAGACAGGCUAAGGCGAGAUCUUCAUUUUCAGCAUUUCUGGCAAAUCGCUUAACCUCUCUGGGUAUGUUUUCACAGCUAUAAAUGGGAGUAACUACUACUUUUCAGAGUUGUGGGAGAAAUAGAGAUUACACUUGGAAAGUGUCAAUGGCUGCUUUUAUUAUAAGUGACUUGCCAGCAAACUUAUACCUGCAACGGAUGGGAUCGUACCAUUACAGAAGUCACCCACCAGGUGGCAAAACUGAAACCUAGGCAGGAGAAGGGACAGAACCACGACAAGGAGUCCUAAAACCAAGACCUCCUGACUGGGCUGAGGACCCACUGAAAUUGACACACAAGGCAAAUGCCAGAGGAAG